GCUUUUGCUGUGGAUAGCAGAGUUCAGCUCUGGUCCUCACCCACAACUAACCUAAUUUUGAAUGUACAUAAUGUUUCUACUUUCCAAAGGACUCAGCUAAGGGUCAGGUACUAUAGGAAUAUUUUACAGUUUAGUUUAGAUUCGUUUAGAAAAGGAGCUUGCUUCACUUCGCUCAGGGCAUAAGUGUUCUCAAGACUUUUGGGACCUGGUGGAUUGAAGACAUGGUUUUGCUGGCUGUUUGAUUCCAUUUUGGACACAGGGCAGUAAGGAAAGAAUGAUUCAUUUUGACUGUGAUUGCUGGGAAAGAUAUCUUGAAAUGGAGACUGUGAGUACCCUCUCCAAGCCAUGAGAUGGAAGAGUGUCCUUAUAUGAAGACUGCUGGAGUUCCAUUGGCUGCCUUGUCUCUGCUUAAUCCAUUAAGACAACGUUGAAUGUUCCCGGCUCAUAUAUUUAUAAAGGAAAAAAAAGAAGAAGGAAAAAGACUUUGAAAAAUGGAAGUGCCUCAGGCUGUGGCUGGUGUUUGAAGGGCUGCUCCACACAUAUCAAUCAUCCUUUGACAAGAUCUGGAAGAAAAAAAAAAACAACAAAAACCACCCCCCAAAAAGGUGAGGUUCCGAGAUGGUAUCUGGAUGAUGAACACAGAGAGAGCUUCCAUUGUUCCUCUUCUCCUUUGUGCAGAGGAAGCCGUUGGCUGAGUUCAGAAAAAUGUUAAGUGCAUAUCCCGGACCAGUUUGGGUCUCCAGACUGAAUGAAGCCAGUCAGCUGGGAUUCUGGUUGAGUCUCAGACUCAGAAGAAACUUGUGGGAUUAAGUGGUUUUUCUGGAAAAUAUUGGCUGAAAACCACAUUCACCCCAAAUUGCUGUGUGAAUGAAACACAUGGGUUUUCUUUGUGUUUUAAAUAAUUCCAGUGGUGGCCUCAAGCUUCUAUUUCCCUGUGUUUUUAUGGAGUUAACCAAAAUAGCUUUGUACAAAUAACAAAAAGUAUGAAAAAGUAUAUGCACCUUGUCAUUGCUUUGCCAAUUGGAAAUACUCUUAAGACAUAUGAACAACAAUAAAAAGCUGUGGCUUCAGCUUUUAAAAUGCUGAAGACAUGGCUUAUUGCAGAAUCUCUGUCUUAUAUUUGGUUACUUUUCAGUUUUUUUAUUUGCCUAUUUCAAGCAUGACAUUUUUCUACUUCUCACAUAGAAAGUAUUCAGUUAUAGUCUUCAAA
rnacentral:lncRNA from 1 species